UGGGAGUGGAUAUAGAACAAAUUUCACUCUCACCAUCAGCAGCCUGCAACCUGAAGAUGUUGCCACUUAUUACUGUCAACAGAGUAAUAGUUACCCUCCCA